rnacentral:rRNA from 1 species
GUGUCAGCAGCCGCGGUAAUACGGAGGGUGCAAGCGUUGUUCGGAUUUAUUGGGCGUAAAGAGCGUGUAGGCGGUUUUGCAAGUCAGGUGUGAAAUCCCGGGGCUUAACCCCGGAACUGCGCCUGAAACUGCAGGACUUGAGUACGGGAGAGGUAGGUGGAAUUCCUGGUGUAGAGGUGAAAUUCGUAGAUAUCAGGAGGAACACCCGUGGCGAAAGCGACCUACUGGACCGAUACUGACGCUGAGACGCGAAAGCGUGGGGAGCAAACAGGAUUAGAUACCCUGGUAGUCCACGCCGUAAACGUUGGGCACUAGGUGUUGCGGGUGUUGACCCCUGCAGUGCCGAAGCAAACGCAUUAAGUGCCCCGCCUGGGGAGUACGGCCGCAAGGCUAAA